UACGGAGGGUGCAAGCGUUAUCCGGAUUCACUGGGUUUAAAGGGUGCGUAGGUGGACUGGUAAGUCAGUGGUGAAAUCCCCGAGCUUAACUUGGGAACUGCCAUUGAUACUAUUAGUCUUGAAUACCGUGGAGGUCAGCGGAAUAUGUCAUGUAGCGGUGAAAUGCAUAGAUAUGACAUAGAACACCCAUUGCGAAGGCAGCUGACUACGCGGAGAUUGACACUAAGGCACGAAAGCGUGGGGAUCAAACAGG
rnacentral:rRNA from 1 species